rnacentral:lncRNA from 1 species
AUAGAUUUAGAAAGAGGCUGACAUAUCGGGUAACUAGUUUAGGGUCAUCUGACUCUAAGCGACAUUUAGGGUAAGCGACAUUUUUCAGAAACCAAGGCCCUCCCUCUCGUCUCACUAGUGGGAAGGGUGGAAACUACAGGACAGAAAGCUCUCCCUCUAGUGUGAGGCAGUUGCUGUGGAAGCCCCAUAGGCAGGAGGCCCCCGGGCAGCACAUCCUGUCUGCUUGUGUCUGCUGCAGAGUUCUGUCCUUGCAUUGGUGCGCCUCAGGCCAGGCUGCACUGCUGGGACCGGGGCCAUGUCUCCCCACCCCACGGCCCUCCUGGGCCUACAAGAAGGAUUACAUGGAGAUAGUGAUGUCGAGGAGGGUUGGCUUGGUCGUUAUGAAAUGCUGAAUGCCCCCCAGCUCCAUCGAGCCCCCUUUUGACAGCAGCCCCGUAAGGAGACUGGGCAGCGGGCAUUUUUCUCACUGGAGCUUCUCUUCCAGUGCUCUGCCUGGCCCAGAUCAUCCACACGCAGAAGGGUAAGUCAUGCCUUCGUCCCGUCUUCCCAGUCCCCU